GCUUCCGCGUUGGGCUGGUGUGCAGUUUCGGGGUUCCCGAUGCUCCCCCAGCUUGGGCUUGGCGAGGACAGUUGGGGGCCGGCCGGAUCUCCCCUCCGGCUCUCCCUGCACCCCAAAAGAACGGCCCACCAAGCUGGGUGAAGCCCUUUGGGACCCGCAGUUACUUUUAUUGAUUUUCUUGAGACCUGACAGCCAAAAAAAAGGGGCGCGGUGCGCAGUGGAAAGAGGCCAGGCCCUGCAGAAAACGCCAGGCAAACAGACCUCCCGAACAAAGGAGCGCACCCAACUUAGACACCCCCAGACUGCUUUGGAAUUCUUCCUGCCCUUGCAACGUCUGUUUCUUUGAAGGUGCACCUUUGGACCAAAGCCGUUGGUUUCUUCCAAAUCCAUCCGGUGAACCUGCCCCCACCUCCCGUAAACAAAGAAAAAGCCAGGGACUGACCCCAAGUUUCUAGGAGCAGCAGUGAGGUUGACAUAUUUCAGACAAAUCGCAGCAGCCAACUUCCUGUCCGGCCCCUUUUCCACGGAGAAACCCUCCCUCCACCCUUCCCGGGUCCAGGUGAAGAGAUUAAAACUCUACACGAGCCCCUACAUGGAAUGCUCAGCUGGGCGACAUUUUUUAAUAUUGCAUUACACUAUGAAUUUCUCUCUGUCCCCACGGAAACAUACCUCUAGUUCGGUGGAACGUGCCCAGCCCUUCUAUCUUGAACAGAAGAUCACAGUAUUUAAUGCUAAUUUCCUUGGGAUGGUGCUUACAAUACACCAGGUGAGGUUUUCAUAAUAUACUGUUACAAUACAGAUGUUAAACAGAGAAGGGGAAGUGUGCAAAUCCCAAACUGCAAGAGACAGCAGGGUUAUCAUCUUUAUAAAAGUUUCAGCACAAAAUACUAUCCGAACACUGAGGAGGAGCCGCUCAGCAGUUUCCCGCUGCCAGGAAGAGAAAUUCACAUGUUGAGGCGGUCCCCAUCUAGUCGGAAGUAGGAACAAAGAUUCAUUCAGUCCCUCGACAAGAAUGGAUAAACUCGCGACCCUGUGCCAGGCACCGUGCGGCGUGCCCCCGGGCACCUUGUCACCUUUUAUCCUUACAGCCAACACGCUGGGGCAGGGAAGAUGUGAACCCAAGAUUCUGCUGUAUAACACAGGGAACUAUAUCCAACCUCCUGGGAUAGACCAUGAUGGACGAUAAUAUAAAA